rnacentral:rRNA from 1 species
AAUGAACGCUGGCGGCGCGCCUAAUACAUGCAAGUCGAGCGAGAAGACGUAGCAAUACGUUUGUAAAGCGGCGAACGGGUGAGGAAUACAUGGGUAACCUACCCUCGAGUGGGGAAUAACUAGCCGAAAGGUUAGCUAAUACCGCGUACGCUCCUUGGACUUCGGUUCAGGGAGGAAAGCGAUACCGUGGGUAUCGCGCUCUUGGUUGGGCUCAUGUCCUAUCAGCUUGUUGGUGAGGAACGGCUCACCAAGGCUUCGACGGGUAGCUGGUCUGAGAGGACGAUCAGCCACACUGGCACUGCGACACGGGCCAGACCUCCGUACGGGAGGCAGCAGUAAGGAAUAUUGCGCAAUGGGACGAAAGCCUGACGCAGCGACGCCGCGGUGGGGGAGUGAAGGUC